rnacentral:rRNA from 1 species
UACGAAGGUGGCAAGCGUUGUUCGGAUUCACUGGGCGUACAGGGUGUGUAGGCGGUUUGGUAAGCCUUCUGUUAAAGCUUCGGGCCCAACCCGGAAGCGCAGAGGGUACUGCCAGGCUAGAGGACGGGAGAGGAGCGCGGAAUUCCCGGUGUAGCGGUGAAAUGCGUAGAGAGUCGGGAGGAAGGCCGGUGGCGAAGGCGGCGCUCUGGAACGUUUCUGACGCUGAGACACGAAAGCGUGGGGAGCAAACAGG